AGUUAAAAUAUAAUUAAAAGACGAGAAGACCCUAUAGAUCUUUAUUUUUGUUAAUUAUAAAUUAAAAAGAAUAAUUAAAUUUAUAGUUUAAUAAAAAAUUUUACUGGGGUGGUAUUAAAAUUUAAUAAACUUUUAUUAUUUAUUUACAUUAAUAUAUGAAUAUUUGAUCCAGUUAUAUUGAUUAAAAAAUUAAGUUACCUUAGGGAUAACAGCGUAAUUUUUUUUUAGAGUUCUUAUCGACAAAAAAA
rnacentral:rRNA from 1 species